AAAAGUAAAUCCACAGCCACAAGCGUGAAAGGGCAAUGAGCCUUAUAAUGGUGAAAGUUGUUAAUUGAAAUAUAUUUGGCUUUCCAUGGUCCAGAUUGUGCAGUUAAGACUGGAGAUUUCAGAAAGCAAACGACAGUGAACAGCCCACAGUUCUUAAGUCAAACAGGAACUUCAGAAACCGUGUAACUACAUGCCAUGGUUGAGCGACAGUGACAGUGUGUGUAAGGGUCGAGGGGGUUGCUGGAGUCUAUCCCAGCAUGCAUUGUGUGAGAGUCAGGAAGAGGCAGUGGUAUGGAGCGGAAUAUUCAUCACGCCUGCUGAGUUGCUUUGUGUACAAGAAGUAUCAUGGCUGAAGACAGGGUGAUUAUACAACAGGGGGUCACAAUGCAGUCCUGGAGGGCCACAGUGUCUGC